ACUACUCUCUUGGAGAGAGAGAGAGGGAGAGAGUGGGGCCACUCCCUCCCAUUCCAAGUCUCCCCGAGGCGAGGCAAAGGCAAGGCAAACCCACCGACCAAAGCCACCGCCGCACCCCAUCCACAAAACCCUCGCCGGCGGCCGGGUGGUACGCCGCCGGCGAUCACCGGCGGCCACUCCACUCCACUGCCACGGGCAUCGCGCCGCGGCCUCACCGGCUCACCCUGCCUCGCGCCGCGGCCGCCGUUGGCUAGCCGGCUAAUUGAGCCUGCUGCUCCUCGCGGCGGGGGGCGGCGAGCCAUGCGGCGGCGCUCAGCUCCACCGCCGCGCCGCGCGGGCGCGGCAUCCACAGCACCCGCAUGCUUUUUGGCGCAGGGGGGUGUCAAUUGAAUUUCAUGGUAGCCAUAGACUUCACAGCUUCAAAUGGGAAUCCCAUGGCUUCCAGAUUCCUUGCAUUACAUCGAACCCACUGGUCGGCCAAAUGGCAGUACUGGAAACAGAGAUGCACUACAAUGCUAUGACUCUGCUAAGCGAUUCCCCUUAUGGGGGCUUUGGAGCUAGACCUAUUGAUGUCCUGUUUCCUAUUUCCACUGUUUCAACCUGAAUGGCAGCAUCUAUCAACCUGAGGGUGGUGCGAUGACUGAUUUGCAAGAGACUAUUGAUACAAUCAUAAAGGCAUCUGAUUUUCCUUCGUCCAUUCUUGUUGCUGGAGUUGGUGGAGCGGACGGAAAUGGAGAUAAUGGGACUGGAAAGUUGCUUGCAAUCAUAUGAUUGAUCUACUUAUUUCUUAUCAGAGCUAAAAUUGAACCGCUUGACUAGGUCUUGCUCACUGCCUUAGAUGUUACAACAAAUACUGAUAACCUUAUAUUUCCCAGAUUGGAAAGAUUGAGGAGGGAAUGACUACCAAUAUGCGAGUCAUGAACAGUGUAUGAUUUUUCUUAUUUGCACAGUAGUAUUUCAUCAGUAUAUCAUGUUCCAUGACCCAUCGCAGCAUGAAUAAAG
rnacentral:lncRNA from 1 species